rfam:Gossypium hirsutum cultivar TM-1 chromosome 17, whole genome shotgun sequence
CACGUCAGCGCGCUUUGCUGACGUGACAGAAAAUCGCAUCCUAGAGGGCGCGAUUUGUUGCCAUGUCAGUAAAGCGUGCUGACGUGG